rnacentral:rRNA from 1 species
GACGAACGCUGGCGGCGUGCUUAACACAUGCAAGUCGAACGGAAAGGCCCUGCUUUUGUGGGGUGCUCGAGUGGCGAACGGGUGAGUAACACGUGAGUAACCUGCCCUUGACUUUGGGAUAACUUCAGGAAACUGGGGCUAAUACCGGAUAGGAGCUCCUGCUGCAUGGUGGGGGUUGGAAAGUUUCGGCGGUUGGGGAUGGACUCGCGGCUUAUCAGCUUGUUGGUGGGGUAGUGGCUUACCAAGGCUUUGACGGGUAGCCGGCCUGAGAGGGUGACCGGCCACAUUGGGACUGAGAUACGGCCCAGACUCCUACGGGAGGCAGCAGUGGGGAAUAUUGCACAAUGGGCGGAAGCCUGAUGCAGCAACGCCGCGUGCGGGAUGACGGCCUUCGGGUUGUAAACCGCUUUCGCCUGUGACGAAGCGUGAGUGACGGUAAUGGGUAAAGAAGCACCGGCUAACUACGUGCCAGCAGCCGCGGUGAUACGUAGGGUGCGAGCGUUGUCCGGAUUUAUUGGGCGUAGAGGGCUCGUAGGUGGUUGAUCGCGUCGGAAGUGUAAUCUUGGGGCUUAACCCUGAGCGUGCUUUCGAUACGGGUUGACUUGAGGAAGGUAGGGGAGAAUGGAAUUCCUGGUGGAGCGGUGGAAUGCGCAGAUAUCAGGAGGAACACCAGUGGCGAAGGCGGUUCUCUGGGCCUUUCCUGACGCUGAGGAGCGAAAGCGUGGGGAGCGAACAGGCUUAGAUACCCUGGUAGUCCACGCUGUAAACGGUGGGUACUAGGUGUGGGGUCCAUUCCACGGGUUCCGUGCCGUAGCUAACGCUUUAAGUACCCCGCCUGGGGAGUACGGCCGCAAGGCUAAAACUCAAAGGAAUUGACGGGGCCCCGCACAAGCGGCGGAGCAUGCGGAUUAAUUCGAUGCAACGCGUAGAACCUUACCUGGGUUUGACAUGGAUCGGGAGUGCUCAGAGAUGGGUGUGCCUCUUUUGGGGUCGGUUCACAGGUGGUGCAUGCCUGUCGUCAGCUCGUGUCGUGAGAUGUUGGGUUAAGUCCCGCAACGAGCGCAACCCUUGUUCACUGUUGCCAGCACGUUAUGGUGGGGACUCAGUGGAGACCGCCGGGGUCAACUCGGAGGAAGGUGGGGAUGACGUCAAGUCCUCAUGCCCCUUAUGUCCAGGGCUUCACGCAUGCUACAAUGGCUGGUACAGAGAGUGGCGAGCCUGUGAGGGUGAGCGAAUCUCGGAAAGCCGGUCUCAGUUCGGAUUGGGGUCUGCAACUCGACCUCAUGAAGUCGGAGUCGCUAGUAAUCGCAGAUCAGCAACGCUGCGGUGAAAACGUUCCCGGGGCU